rnacentral:rRNA from 1 species
AUUAAGCCAUGCAUGUCUAAGUAUAAAUAGUAUACAGUGAAACUGCGAAUGGCUCAUUAAAACAGUUAUAGUUUAUUUGAUAAUUGACAAUUACAAGGAUAACCGUGGUAAUUCUAGAGCUAAUACAUGCUUAAACGCCCGACUUUAUGGAAGGGUGGUAUUUAUUAGACUGAAGCCAAUAUUCCUUGUGUCUAUUGCGGUGAUUCAUAAUAACUGAUCGAAUCUCUUUUUGAGAUAAAUCAUUCAAGUUUCUGCCCUAUCAGCUUUCGAUGGUAGUGUAUUGGACUACCAUGGCAGUAACGGGUAACGAAGAAUUAGGGUUCGAUUUCGGAGAGGGAGCAUGAGAAACGGCUACCACAUCUAAGGAAGGCAGCAGGCGCGUAAAUUACCCAAUCCUGACUCAGGGAGGUAGUGACAAGAAAUAGCAAACCGGGAACCUCAUGGUUUCACGGUAUUGCAAUGAGAACAAUUUAAAACCCUUAGCGAGAAUCAAGUGGAGGACAAGUCUGGUGCCAGCACCCGCGGUAAUUCCAGCUCCACUAGCGUAUAUUAAAGUUGUUGCAGUUAAAAAGCCCGUAGUUGAACCUCUGUCUGGGGCUAGUUUUGGCUUUGGUCAGGCUAGUUCUAGGCAUCCGCCUACAAGACUUAGAGGGCAUUCAGUUGUUCACUAGGAGGAGUAGGCAUUUUACUUUGAAAAAAUUAGAGUGUUUAAGGCAGGCAAUCGCCCGCAUAUAUUAGCAUGGAAUAAUAGAAUAGGACACUUUUCCAUUUCGUUGGUUAUUGGAAUCGUGUAAUGAUUAAUAGGGACAGUUGUGGGCAUUUGUAUUUAAUUGUCAGAGGUGAAAUUCUUGGAUUUAUUAAAGACAAACUAACGCGAAAGCAUUUGCCAAGGAUGUUUUCAUUAAUCAAGAACGAAAGUUAGGGGAUCAAAGACGAUCAGAUACCGUCCUAGUCUUAACUAUAAACUAUUCCGACUCAAUGUUUGACUGGCUUAUAUAACCAGUUGAGCGUUGUAUGAGAAAUCAAAGUCUUUAGGUUCUGGGGGGAGUAUGGUUGCAAAGCUGAAACUUAAAGGAAUUGACGGAAGAGCACAACCAGGAGUGGAUUCUGCGGCUUAAUUUGACUCAACACGGGGAAACUUACCAGGUUAAAACAAUAGUGGGAUUGACAGUUUGAGAGCGCUUUCUUGAUUGGUUGGGUGGUGGUGCAUGGCCGUUCUUAGUUGGUGGAGUGAUUUGUCUGCUUAAUUGCGUUAACGAACGAGACCUUAACCUGCUUACUAGACU